CCUACGGGAGGCAGCAGUGGGGAAUAUUGCACAAUGGGCGCAAGCCUGAUGCAGCCAUGCCGCGUGUGUGAAGAAGGCCUUCGGGUUGUAAAGCACUUUCAGCGGGGAGGAAGGCGUUAAGGUUAAUAACCUUGUCGAUUGACGUUACCCGCAGAAGAAGCACCGGCUAACUCCGUGCCAGCAGCCGCGGUAAUACGGAGGGUGCAAGUGUUAAUCGGAAUUACUGGGCGUAAAGCGCACGCAGGCGGUCUGUCAAGUCGGAUGUGAAAUCCCCGGGCUCAACCUGGGAACUGCAUUCGAAACUGGCAGGCUAGAGUCUUGUAGAGGGGGGUAGAAUUCCAGGCGUAGCGGUGAAAUGCGUAGAGAUCUGGAGGAAUACCGGUGGCGAAGGCGGCCCCCUGGACAAAGACUGACGCUCGGGUGCGAAAGCGUGGGGAGCAAACAGGAUUAGAUACCCGGGUAGUC
rnacentral:rRNA from 1 species